GAUCAACUGUAUAUAAGGUAGGGAAGAGUGUCGUAUAUAGUAAAGAUAUAUAUAGAAUGUCAUGUAGUAUUAUAGGGUUAUUGCAUGAAUAUUGGGGAAUAUUGUCCCGAGUAGAAUUUUAUAUUGCACGAGCUUGAAGUGCAAUAUAUGUUCUACGAGGGACAAUAUUCCCAAUAUUCAUGCAAUAACCCUUUUAUUGUAUAGCAAUAUAAUAUUUGAAAGUAAAAAUUGGUUUAAACUAAGAUUUUGUCGUCGAUGACUUCAUGAAUUUUGAAGAUUUAUUGCACUAGUGCAAUAAUAGAAUUUAUUGCACCCUAACUUUUGGUUACUUUCUGUUGGAAAUAUUAUAUUGCUAUACAAUAAAAUAUUUAUAGAAAUCUGUGCUAGUUUAUAUAUAAAUAUUAUUUGAGAUUCAUUAUCAUCAAUUUAUUUUUGGUAACCUGUGUGUAAUUUGUGUGUGUUUUUUUUCUAUUGUUGGAAAUUCCAUGAGACUUUUAGCAACCUUUUUAGCUCACCUGGUUUAUGUAUUACUGCCUAAAUUUAAGAAUAAGAAUACAUGGUAUGAUUGCCAAUGAGCAAACUCUGCACCAGAGACCAAAUGAUGUGAUUGCUUUCAAGUUCUGCAAUCAAAUUAUAAUAAUUUAUUAAUGAAAUAAAAUCCAAAGAGGUUCAAAAGGUUCUGAAACCGAUAAUUUUUAUUUUCAUCUGCCCAUAUCAAAUAUAAAUUUUAAUACAAUAAUUAUACCAAGUUUAUUUUCAAUGCUUUUUGUAUAUUUCAAUUACUUGUGUCUGAAAUUUUCCAAACCAGAAUCAAAAAUUGGCUCUUGAAAUUUAGAAGUGUUUUUGUUUUCCUUCUUUUAAGGUGGUACCGAACACUACAGGGAGAUAACUCUGUAAAGUCAGCUAAACGUUUUAAUUACGUUGUGUUGCAAAAGGAAUAUUAAGCUUCUCAAUGAUCAAAAUUGGUGUUUGACAAAUUGCUAUAUAACCAGUGUAAUUUUUUGACAAAACGGUUGGUUCAAAAUUUUUAAAAUUUUUACAUUUUUGUUAAAGUGUCAAAGUUAAUACUUUGACAAAAUUUUAUGAAAAUUAAACUAGCCAAAUUAAUUUUAGUGAAAGUGUUGGGUACCACCUUAAUAUCAGAGUUAAAAUGGUAAUUUUUCAAAAGAGAGAGAAAUUUAAUUUAUAAUUACUGUCAUGGUUGGUCAAAAUUGACAGUUUGUUUCAGAGGUUAAUGUAAUAUAUAAAGUCAAGUAUGGUUCAGUGGGAAAAUAUCUUAAUUUUGUAUGUCUCAUCAACAUGAAUGGAAAGUUCUUUAAGAAAGGUUUUAUAAUCAUCUUUCCUGGAAAAUUUUAGUGUUGCCUUAUCACAAUAGACAUUAGAGUGACAAGUUUGAAUAUUGAUUUAUUAGAAGCAAGAAAUUCCCCUCCCCACUUUUUUAAGCUUUGCAGUUCUUGCCUUUAACUUUGGGAUCUUUUAUUUUCUGUGGACUUUAUGCAUGGGUGGAAUAAUUAUGUUGUACUUCCAUAUCACUCAUAGUUUACUUAAGAACUCGUUGGAAGUACUUGAUAAAUUGCAUGCUUAUAUUGGUGAUUUUGAAUUUGUUCAAAGUUUUGAUUUUUCUACCCUGUAUACCACAUUGCCUCACAUUCUCAUUAAGAAAAAAUUCACACACCUAAUUAAAUGGGCAUUUAAAAAGUCAGAAUAUAUAUGUUCAAACUCUUUUAGGUCAUUUUUUAGUAGCGAUAAACAAAAAAACUAUGUCAAUUGGACAUGCUUUGAUACUAUAUUUGCCCUUGAAUUUUUACUAGAUAACAUUUUUGUUCGCUUGGGAUUCGUAUAUCGUCAGAUUAUCGAAUUCCAAUGGGACUUACUGUGCACCACUUAUUGCAGACCUGUUUUUGUAUUGCUAUGAGUUACAAUUUAUGACAAAUAUAAGCAAAGACCCAUCGAAACAACAUCUGAUAAACAAAUUUAAUAACACUUUUAGAUAUUUGGAUGAUAUUUUGGCUCUCAAUAAUGACGACUUCAGUAUGUAUAUUACAGAAAUUUAUCCUGUUGAACUUACUUUAAAUAAAGCUAAUACUAACAAUGACCACUGCCCUUUCCUCGAUCUUGAUAUCUAUAUCACUAAUGGAAAGCUGAAUACUAAAAUUUAUGAUAAAAGAGAUGAUUUUUCAUUUCCUAUAGUUAAUUAUCCAUUUUUAGAUGGUGACGUUCCCUUGUCACCAUCUUACGGUGUUUAUUUAUCUCAACUUGUACAUUCGCUCGUGUAUGUAACAUGUUUUAGAUUUUAAUGAGAAAAUUUAUGUAUUACUGAAAAAUUAUUACACAGGGUUUUCGAUAUCACAAACUGUCAAAACAUUUACUAAUUUUCAUCGGUAUAAGACAUCAUUUGUAAAUAUAGCUAACAUGCAGACUUCUUAUACGUUCAGGUAUUUCACAUCCAUUUUUUAUGGAAAUAUUCUUUAUAAAGCACAAAGGUGUCAGUAUUCACUCAAAAACUAACAAAUCCUUUGAAUAGACUUAUUAAGAAGGGAUAUAGUUACGAUACUGUUGUCAGGUCAUUAAAGAUUGCAUAUUUGGCGUUAAUAUUGAUUCACUUAUAGGGUCUUUGCAUCGGAACUAAACACAUUUAUUCAAAAACCAGUUGUUGAAAUACACGGGUUAUUUCUCUCAUAUUGUUAUGAUGGUAUGAUACUAAACCCCUAACGGGAAGGAUUGUGCCUGAUAUUCAUAUGAUGAAAUCAUAAUCUUUCAGUCAGUUUAAUUGAAGUCUGGAGCUGUCAUGUCAGUUAACUGCUAGUAGUCUGUUGUUAUUUAUGUAUUAUUGUCAUUUUGUUUAUUUUCUUUGGUUACAUCUUCUGACAUCAGACUCGGACUUCUCUUGAACUGAAUUUUAAUGUGUGUAUUGCUAUGCGUUUACUUUUCUACAUUGGCUAGAGGUAUAGGGGGAGGGUUGAGAUCUCAUAAACAUGUUUAACCCCGCCACAUUUUUGCGCCUGUCCCAAGUCAGGAGCCUCUGGCCUUUGUUAGUCUUGUAUUAUUUUAAUUUUAGUUUCUUGUGUACAAUUUGGAAAUUAGUAUGGCGUUCAUUAUCACUGAACUAGUAUAUAUUUGUUUAGGGGCUAGCUGAAGGACGCCUCCGGGUGCGGGAAUUUCUCGCUACAUUGAAGACCUGUUUGGUGACCUUCUGCUGUUGUUUUUUUCUAUGGUCGGGUAGUUGUCUCUUUGGCACAUUCCCCAUUUCCAUUCUCAAUUUUAUUAAACUUUCAUUGACAAAAAUAUCACAUGUUGCAAACCACCUCAUCAUCAUAUAUAUAGCACCUAGUGAAAAUUUCUGGAAAACCCAAGUUCUCUCUGGUAACUUGUUUGUGUCUUAUCAUCAUAUUUAAUCAUUUGCAAUCAAAUAUGGGAAAACAUAUAUUUAUUUAUAUUUUAUUACCAUAUAUAUCAGAUUAUUUAUCGUGUCACGCUCUAAAAUUUACUGUGUUUUGAAAUAUAAAUAUAAAUUUAAGUUAUUUUAAUAUCGCAAAAAAUAAUAUAAUGAAAUCAAGCCAAAACUUGAUAAAGUCAGUUUUAAGAUAUAAUUUUUCAGCCAUUUAUGCCAGUUAAUGGUCAGAAAUAUUCAUUUGAAGGUUGUUAGCAUAAUAUUCAUAUUUAUAAUUUAAUUUGAAAUAAGGCAAUUUGAGAGUUCUUCCUGAAGAGGAGAUUUGAGUUACCUGUGGAUUCAUUAUUAUUGCUGGGAUAUCAAUUUUUGUGGAUUUCAAGGUUUAAGGUAAAUCAUCAAUUUAAAUGUUCUUCCGAUUAAAAAUUUUCUAUAGGCAGACAUGCAGACUUGAGCAAAACAACAAACAUACAAUUUAUUCCCAAAUCCAGAAAAAUUGGUAUCCACAAAAAGGUCUAUGAAUCCACAGUAAUACCUCUCAUUAUUGAUUGGUUGUUAAUUUGUCAUUAUCUUUAUAUUUAAACAGCUGAGAAAAUUCCAUUCCUAUGACGACUGGUUAAAGGAUAGAGAUCCAAAGAAAAAACCAAACCAAAGAACAAGGGUAAGUAAAUAGUAGUUAAUUGAUUGAUGUUAAACGCCACUUUCAGCUCUAUUAUGUUUUUUCGUGGGCAGUCAGUUUUAUUGGUGUGGAAGCCGUAAUUCCUUGGAGAGAACUUCUGACCCGUGGUAGGAAAGUUAAGCAUCUUAGAGGAGUUGUAACUUAAAAAAUCAAAUUAAUGUCCAAAGUUACAUUUACUUAGGUAGUACUCCACAGUUAGAAAAUAAAAUUAAAAUUGACUCACAAAACUUUUGAUCAUCUUCUAUUCCUGGCUUUCUAAUACAUUAACCUUACUGUUUGUGUUAUACAUUUGAAUAUGUAUGUAAACAGAAUCUUCCCUAGAUUUGAUUUUUAAAAGUUAUAAGUUGAAAUAUAAUUCCUUUUAUGUGUAUCCAUGGUAACAUUCUGCAUUUAUUUACCAUAAAAUAUUGCAAAAGGGGGGGGGGGGUAAAAUGUCACAUAUUCCCCAAAAAUGUGGAUCAAACUAGAAUUUCAGUGCCCUUUAGAGAUAACUUUUCAGAGACUUUGACAUUAAUCUACCUAAUGAUCAAAUAAAAAAUGGGUGUCUUUUGCCUUUCAUUUUUCACAAAGUUCAUGCGACAAAAAGUUGGAAAAAAACAUUACAAUAUUUGCCAGACCAAUGUUUGGUAUGGAUAUGCAAAUAUGGACUGUCAAAGGGAUAACAGCCUAUAUUACAUACAUUACAUAAUCUUGAUGUUCAUAUAAAUCCAAUAUAAAGGCUGUUUUAAUCCUCAGCUAUCCAAAAAUGAAUGUUAUUGCACUCUAGCUCUCAUAUUUGAAAAAUCCCACUAGCCGUAAUGUGAAACUACACACGUAACUGUGGAGUGCUACCUUAUAUUUAAUUGAUUCUAACUUUUUAUCCAAAAAGAGAAGUGGGUCCUGAGGUUCUGCCAAUCUGCGUUUCCUUUACUAGUAUUUGAUGGGAUCCUGAUUUUGACUUAUUAAACAAAAUUACUUGAAAAAUAAUUCCUUCAUGUCAUGCUCUAUGCUCAUUUUAACAUGUGUAGGCAUUAUAUUUGUCGAUAUUUUACAUGGAGCGUCAUUAUUAUAGGUCGAAACGUAAGAAAAUACCGUAGAAAUGUUUGGCUAUUCCAGCUUCCUCCCAUGAAUUAUACACAUUACAUUUUCAUAUUUGAUAAGUUUAAAAACUAAUAGCAUGGUAAGUAUAUGAUGUUUUAAUAACAAUAUAUAAUAAAAUUAGUAAGCAGCUAAAAUAUAUACAUUUUUAGCUCACCUGGCCCGAAGGGCCAAGUGAGCUUUUCUCAUCACUUGGCGUCAGGGUUGGCAAAAACCGGUUUUAUGAGUAUUGCCCACUGUGGGAAUACUGGGAAAACCCGGUUUUACUGGGUUUACUGGUAAUACUGGCACUACUGGGUAUAUAUAAGAUACUGGACUGAAUUUAAAAGGAUUAUAAUCAAACACAAAUACAAUACAUUUAAGAUAUAUAUUUUAAUUUAUUUUCAAUUAUAAAUAAGUUUACUUGUUUGAGUCUUAUGAUACGUGCAUGUACAAAUGUAUACAUUUGAGAAGAAAUUCUAACACUCUGAGAUUUUUCUUCAAGUAAUAUAGCUUGUAUAAAGUUUUAACAAUUCAUGUAGAAAUAGCAAAUGUAAAACUCUUAUAAGUAAUUAUUCAGAUUAGAACACGAUAUGUUUAUAUACGUAUCAGCCUUUUCAUUUCUAUAAGAGUUAUGACAAGACCCUCUAGGGUGUUUGUUUAGCAUCAUAAUCAUAUAUAGCAAUUUAAUUUACAUUCCUCAUAAACACUGCAAUAAAAUGUUUAGAUUAUUGAAACAAAGCUUCAAAAUUACCAAGGAAUUGGGCAAAUCUUGCAUUUUGCCUACAUAGAAUUUAAGUGGAGAAGGAAUGAACUUGAAUUUUAAUCUGCUAGAAAUGACUCUCAAUGGUUAUAUUAUGUAUAAAAUGUGUAUAUUUAGCUAUAAUACUAUGAAACUACAACAAAAAAUUGAGAAAGGAAAUGGUGAAUAUGUCAAAGCGACACACCCGACAUAGAGCAAACAAAGCGAAGGCAACCAAUGGGUCUUCAAUGUAGCGAGAAUUCAGCACCCGUAGGUGUCCUUCAGCUGGCCCUAAACUUGCAUAAUAGUACAGUGUAAUGGCGUCAUACUAAACUCCGAAUUAACACAGAAACUAAAUUUAAAAUCAUACAAGACUAACAAGGCAGAGGCUCCUGACGGGACAGGCGCAAAAUUCUUUAUUAUUGGUGUUGAAAUAACUUAAAAAUUCAUAUUGCCCAGUAUUGCCAGUUUACUGUUCUGGAGUAUUGCCCAGCCGGAAAACCCGCCCAGUAAAACCCGGGCGGGUAAUACUUUGCCAACCUGCUUGGCUCCGUCUCGUCGUUUUACAUUUUGAACUUCUUCUAGAGAAACCCUGAAUGGAAUAAACCAACAUGGCAUGAAUGUUCUUAUGGGUCUGACCAAGUGUUGUUACUUUGUGCCAAUCCAUCUCCAGUGCGCCAGCGGGGAACUUAGUUUAACAUAGUACCUAUGAGAAUUGGUUAACCAUAGACCAUGGGAAAUGCAUACAAAUGACUUCUUUUAAAACCACUGAAUGGAAUGAAAGAAAUAUGGCAUGAAUGUUCCUUAUGAGUGUGACCAGUGUUGUUACUUUGUGCCGAUCCAUCAUCCAGAUGGCCGCCAGCGGGACUAGUUUAACAUUGGACCCUAUAGGAAAUGCUACAAUGUCUUCUUUUAGAGAACCACUGAAUGAAUGAAACCAAACUGGCAUGAUGUUCCUUAAGUGCUGACGAAGUGUGUACUUGUAGCGAUCAUCAUCCAGAUGGCUGCCAGUGGGGACUAGUUUACUAGGACCCUAUAGAAUGCAUACAAAUGUUUCUUUUAGAAACACUGUAUGGAAUGAAACGAACAUGGCAUGAAUGUUCCUUAUGAGAUGCUGCCAAGUGUUGUUAUUUGUAGCUGAUCCAUCAUCCAAGAUGGCCGCAGCAUGGGAUUAGUUUAACAUAGGGCCUAAGGGAAUUAUACAAAUGUCUUCUUUUAGAGAACUUGAAUGAAUGAAACCAAACUGCAUGAAUGUUCCUUAUUAGGUGCUGACCAAUGUUGUACUUUGUAGCCAAUCCUCAUCCAAGAUGGCGCCAGCUGGGGAUUAGUUAAAUAGGACCCUAUGGGAAUAUAUCAAAUGUCUUCUUUAGAGAGCCUGAACGGAAUGAACAACAGGCAUGCAUGUUCCUUAGAUGUGCUGACAAGUGUUAUUACUUUGUAGUCGAUCCAACAUCCAAGAUGGCCGCCAGCAUGGGGACUUAGUUUACAUAGGACCCUAUGGGAAAUGCAUACAAAUGACUUCUUUUAGAGAACCCUGAAUGGAAUAAAAACAAAAUAGCUUGAAUGUCCUUAUGAGGUGCUGACAGUGUUGUUACUUUGUAGCCGUCUUAUCCAGAUGGCUGCCAGCGGGGACUUAGUUUAACAUAGAACCCUACGGGAAAUACAUACAAAUGUCUUCUUUUAGUGAACACUAAAUGGAUGACCAAACAUAGCAUGAAUGUUCUUAAUGAGAUACUGACCAAGUGUUGUUACUUUUUGCCAUUGCAACAUCCAAGAUGGCCCCGUGGGGGGACUUAGUUUAACAUAGGACCCUAUGGAAAUUAAAAAGUCUUCUUCUAAAAGACCACUGAAUUGAAUGAAAUCAAACAUAGCAUGAAUUUUCCUUUCGUUAUGAGGUGCUGGCCAAGUGUUGUUACUUUUAGCCAAAUUUUAUAUUUUUUUAUAUGAUUUCAAAAACCCAAGUAGAAUCAGGUGAGUGAUACAGGCUCUUGAGAGCCUCUAGUAAAAGAGAUACAAUGAAAAUAACAAGAAUGCAAGCAGUUAGUUUGUGUGCAUGUAUUAAACAUAUUUUAAGAUAAUUUGAACACAGCUUUGUUUACAAGGUGUAAUAAGGAUGUCAUAUUAGAAUUGCCUUUUUUUUAAGUAAAGGUAAUUUUGCAUAUUGAAUGACAAAAAGAGCAAAUAAGUUCAUUUACAAUUUUGCUUUUACAGAGAGCCAGAAAAAGGCUUAAAAUGAAGUCAGAUAAGCCAAAGACGAUCAGUAAAAAACAACAACUAGCAGAACAGCACAGGAGGGAAAAGGUAUUGUAUAAAGUCAGUAUGUAAUUGCAUCCAUAUCAACGAGACCCAAAUGUUUUAAAUUUGUCAUUAUGUUGCUUUGUUAUCUACUUUAUUUCGGACAGAUUCAAUUUAAAAGUUUAAAUAAGUUCAACUUGUAAACAAAUUUGAUGCAUUAGCUAUCAGCAUAAUUGAAAAAAAAAUAAAAAUGUUUUAUUCUUAUUUGAGGAAAAUGGAGGUCUUUCUGGGAAAUACAAAUUUCAUUUAACCCUGAAGAUUAUUCCGAGGUACAUUAGUAUAUGAACCUUUCCAUGCAUAUUGUUUUAUUGUACAAUACUUCAAAAGAAAAUUGUUGUAAUUUUGUGUGCAAAUUCAUAAAAAAGAACUUAGUCUUUGGAUUGUGACUAGUUUUAGCAAUACAAGUGUUUGUAACCCCAUAUACUUGCUAUAUCAUGCAGUCCAUCUGGGUAUCUUUACUGCUAUGAAGCAGAGAAUGUAUAUCUUGACUUUCUUUUACUUCAGAUGUCCCAACCCAUAUAGAGCUCAAGUAAACUAAACCUAAUAUUUUUAGCUCUGUGUACAGGCCUCAUUUUGACUUUGAGAUGAAAACCAGCAAUAAAAGCGCAUAUAAAACACGUCUUUUCUUGAAAUCUUGUGGCCAAAAGGAGUGUGCUGACAAAGUUUCAGUGCAGAUUUUACAAGCUUGAAUACUCUGCAUGAAAAUGGAACAAAUGAAAUAUAUAAAUGUGCCUGUCCAAUCUGAGCCACACAGUAUUAGAAUUAUAUACAUUUUUUAGGAAAUGAAGGAAAUUUCUGAAGAAUUAAAAAACAAACUAAAGAAGAAUGAAACUACAAAUCAAAAGUAAGUGUUGCAUGCUAUAUUCCAUUUCUCUUUUGUUGGUAAAUAGAGUUAUAACCAUUGCCGCUGGAUCUGAUUAUCUUUUAAUACCAUACUGACUAGGUGCUUAAUAGUUAUAUCAGUCUUAAGUCCUUCCUUCAUGAACUUGAUUCCUUUUACAAAUUAAGAUCGAGAAUAGAACCUAAUUGGCUAAAUUACAGUUCAACCUGGCAUCAUGCACUAUCGAUUGCGAGGAACAUUUAAUUGGUAACUUCCUCACUUCCUUGGUACAAUUACAUAAAACUAUUGCAAACAGACAGAUUAACCAAGUAAACAUAGUUAUCUUUGUUACCUUUUAAGUUUAUUUUAGCACCAC
rnacentral:lncRNA from 1 species